CAGGAUGACCCCCACGCCGGCCUCCCCCAGCUGGGCAAGAGACUACCUCAGUUCGAUGAUGAUGCAGACACAGGAAAGAAAAAGAAGAAAACUCGAGGCGACCACUUCAAACUUCGCUUCCGCAAAAACUUCCAGGCUUUGCUGGAGGAGCAGGUGAGAGAGGGCUCAACCUGGGGGCGGGCAUCCUAGAGAGCAAAGGGGUGAGUGACCCCUGCUCUUCAAUGUCCCUGGUGGAUAUCAGCUGCAACACAAGAGUGCCUGUCCUUUCAUGUCCCUGCAGAACCUGAGUGCAUCUGAGGGCCCCAACUACUUGACAGCCUGUGCGGGUCCGCCAUCUCGGCCCCAGCGUCCCUUCUGUGCUGUGUGUGGCUUCCCAUCCCCGUAUACCUGUGUAAGCUGUGGUGCCCGGUAUUGCACGGUGCGCUGCCUGGGCACCCAUCAGGAGACCCGGUGUCUGAAGUGGACUGUGUAAACCUGGCAUCAGGGAGAAGUACCCCCAACUCUCCCCAACCCACCCCAGCUCAUCCACAAAGGACAGCGAGAAAGGAUCUACCCAUUCACCCAGCAAAGCUGUACCCUGCCGACCAAGGAGGGCCCCACGGACCCCAGGGACUGUUGUGGGGGUGAUCCAGCCCACAGAGUGCUGUGAUAAUAAAUGACGUGGUAAAA
rnacentral:lncRNA from 1 species